rnacentral:rRNA from 1 species
AACUCAUCAGGGCAAGAAGAUUUUAGGAUUGACAGAUUGAGAGUUCUUUCUUGAUUGGUCUAGUGGUGGUGCAUGGCCGUUCUUAGUUGGUGGAGUGAUUUGUCUGGUUAAUUCCGUUAACGAACGAGACCUUAACCUGCUAACUAGUACUUUGAUUUUCAAUCGGAGUUACUUCUUAGAGGGACUAUGUGAUGUAAUCACAUGGAAGUUUGAGGCAAUAACAGGUCUGUGAUGCCCUUAGAUGUCCUGAGCUGCACGCGCGCUACAAUGACACAUUCAACGAGUAUUUCCUGACCCGAAAAGGGCUCGGGUAAUCUUUUAGUGUGUGUCGUGAUAGGGAUAGAUCUUUGUAAUUAUGGAUCUUGAACGAGGAAUUCCUAGUAAGCGCAUGUCAUCAGCAUGUGCUGAUUACGUCCUGCAAAU